UGAGUAGCAAUACAAGUGGCGUUCAGUGGCGCACGGGUGAGUAACACGUGAAUUACAUGCCCUUCAGUGGGGAAUAACCAGCCGAAAGGCUGACUAAUACCCCAUAGUCUCGCAAGAGUAAAGGUGGCCCGCAAGGGCUGUCGCUGGAGGAUUGGUUCGCGUCCUAUCAGCUUGUUGGCGGGGUAACGGCCCACCAAGGCUACGACGGGUACCUGGUCUGAGAGGACGAUCAGGCACACUGGAACUGAGACACGGUCCAGACACCUACGGGUGGCAGCAGUCGAGAAUAAUUCACAAUGGGGGCAACCCUGAUGGUGCAACGCCGCGUGGAGGAUGAAGGUCUUCGGAUUGUAAACUCCUGUCAUCCGGGGGUAAGACCUGGCUGUGAAUAGCAGACAGGGUUGAUAGUACCGGAAGAGGAAGGGACGGCUAACUUCGUGCCAGCAGCCGCGGUAGUACGAAGGUCCCGAGCGUUGUUCGGAAUCACUGGGCGUAAAGGGAGCGUAGGCGGCGUGGUAAGUCAGAUGUGAAAUCCCGGGGCUCAACCCCGGAACUGCAUCCGAUACUGCCAUGCUAGAGCAAUGGAGAGGUAGCUGGAAUUCUUGGUGUA
rnacentral:rRNA from 1 species